rnacentral:rRNA from 1 species
AUGCAAGUCAACUUGAUUUAUGGUUUCGGCCGUAAUGAUGGUGGCGGACGGGUGAGUAACGCGUAAAGAAUCUGCCCUUUAGUCUGGGAUAACAUCGGGAAACUGGUGCUAAUACCGGAUAUUAUGGAAUCUCCGCAUGGAGGUACUAUGAAAGCUAUAUGCGCUAGAGGAGGACUUUGCGUCCCAUUAGCUAGUUGGUGAGGUAACGGCUCACCAAGGCGACGAUGGGUAGCCGGCCUGAGAGGGUGAUCGGCCACAAGGGAACUGAGACACGGUCCUUACUCCUACGGGAGGCAGCAGUGGGGAAUAUUGGACAAUGGGCCACAAGCCUGAUCCAGCAAUUCUGUGUGCACGAUGAAGGUCUUCGGAUUGUAAAGUGCUUUCAGUAGGGUAGAAUAAAUGACGGUACCUACAGAAGAAGCGACGGCUAAAUAUGUGCCAGCAGCCGCGGUAAUACAUAUGUCGCAAGCGUUAUCCGGAUUUAUUGGGCGUAAAGCGCGUCUAGGCGGUUUACUAAGUCUGAUGUGAAAAUGCGGGGCUCAACUCCGUAUUGCGUUGGAAACUGGUAGACUAGAGUACUGGAGAGGUGGGCGGAACUACAAGUGUAGAGGUGGAAUUCGUAGAUAUUUGUAGGAAUGCCGAUGGAGAAGUCAGCUCACUGGACAGAUACUGACGCUAAAGCGCGAAAGCGUGG